GAUGAACGCUAGCGGGAGGCCUAACACAUGCAAGCCGAGCGGUAGAGUUUCUUCGGAAACUUGAGAGCGGCGCACGGGUGCGUAACACGUGUGCAACCUACCUUUAUCUGGGGGAUAGCCUUUCGAAAGGAAGAUUAAUACCCCAUAAUAUAAUGAUUGGCAUCAAUUAUUAUUGAAAACUCCGGUGGAUAGAGAUGGGCACGCGCAAGAUUAGAUAGUUGGUGAGGUAACGGCUCACCAAGUCAAUGAUCUUUAGGGGUCCUGAGAGGGAGAUCCCCCACACGGGUACUGGGACACGGACCAGACUCCUACGGGAGGCAGCAGUGCGGAAUAUUGGACAGUGGGUGAGAGCCUGAUCCAGCCAUCCCGCGUGAAGGAUGACGGUCCUAGGGAUUGUAACCUUCUUUUGUACAGGGAUAAACCUACCCUCGUGAGGGUAGCUGACGGUACUGGACGAAUAAGCACCGGCUAACUCCGUG
rnacentral:rRNA from 1 species